rnacentral:rRNA from 1 species
UACAGAGGUCCCAAGCGUUGUUCGGAUCCACUGGGCGUAAAGGGUGCGUAGGUGGUAGGGUAAGUCGGAUGUGAAAUCUCCGAGCUCAACUCGGAAAUGGCAUUGGAAACUACCCUGCUAGAGGGUCGGAGGGGGGACUGGAAUACUUGGUGUAGCAGUGAAAUGCGUAGAUAUCAAGUGGAACACCAGUGGCGAAGGCGAGUCCCUGGACGACUCCUGACACUGAGGCACGAAAGCUAGGGGAGCAAACAGG